rnacentral:tRNA from 1 species
GCCCUCAUCGUCUAGCGGUUCAGGACAGAUCCCUCUCACGGAUCAGACCGGGGUUCGAGUCCCCGUGGGGGUA